rnacentral:rRNA from 1 species
UACGAAGGGGGCUAGCGUUGUUCGGAAUUACUGGGCGUAAAGCGCACGUAGGCGGAUUUGUAAGUCAGGGGUGAAAUCCCGGGGCUCAACCUCGGAACUGCCUUUGAUACUGCAAGUCUCGAGUCCGAUAGAGGUGAGUGGAAUUCCUAGUGUAGAGGUGAAAUUCGUAGAUAUUAGGAAGAACACCAGUGGCGAAGGCGGCUCACUGGAUCGGUACUGACGC